CUGUGAACACUAGGUGUGGCGGAUCAGUGAUGUCUGCCGUACCGUAGCUAACGCGUUAAGUGUUCCGCCUGGGGAGUACGGCCGCAAGGCUAAAACUCAAAGGAAUUGACGGGGCCCCGCACAAGCGGCGGAGCAUGCGGCUUAAUUCGAUGCAACCCGAAGAACCUUACCUGGACUUGACAUCAUGGGUCUACCUGUAGAAAUACAGGGUGCUUUGGCGCCCAUGACAGGUGGUGCAUGGCUGUGGUCAGCUCGUGUCGUGAGAUGUUGGGUUAAGUCCCGCAACGAGCGCAACCCCUGUUCUAUGUUGCCAGCACGUAAUGGUGGGGACUCAUAGGAGACUGCCGGGGAUAACUCGGAGGAAGGCGGGGAUGGCGUCAAGUCAUCAUGCCCCUUAUGUCCAGGGCUGCACGCAUGCUACAAUGGGUGAUACAACGGGCUGCGAUCCCGCAAGGGUGAGCGAAUCCCUUAAAGUCAUCCCCAGUUCGGAUUGAAGUCUGCAACUCGACUUCAUGAAGCCGGAGUCGCUAGUAAUCGCGGAUCAGCAAAGCCGCGGUGAAUACGUUCUGGGGGCUGGUACACACCGCCCGUCACAUCACGGAAAUCGGUAACGCCCGAAGUCAGUGGCCCAACCCUAUGGGAGGGAGCUGCGGAAGGCGGGAUCGGUGACUGGGAUGAAGUCGUAACAAGGUAGCCGUA
rnacentral:rRNA from 1 species